rnacentral:rRNA from 1 species
UGGGGAAUCUUGCGCAAUGGGCGAAAGCCUGACGCAGCGACGCCGCGUGCGGGAUGAAGGCCUUCGGGUCGUAAACCGCUGUCGGGAGGGACGAAAUCAAUGACGGUACCUCCAAAGGAAGCACCGGCUAACUCUGUGCCAGCAGCCGCGGUAAUACAGAGGGUGCGAGCGUUGUCCGGAAUCACUGGGCGUAAAGGGCGCGUAGGCGGCCUGAUAAGUAGGGGGUGAAAUCCUGCGGCUCAACCGCAGGGCUGCCUUCUAGACUGUCAGGCUUGAGCACAGUAGAGGCAGGUGGAAUUCCCGGUGUAGCGGUGGAAUGCGUAGAGAUCGGGAAGAACAUCGGUGGCGAAGGCGGCCUGCUGGGCUGUUGCUGACGCUGAGGCGCGACAGCGUGGGGAGCAAACAGGAUUAGAUACCCUGGUAGUCCACGCCGUAAACGAUGGGUACUAGGCGUCGGGGGAGCGACCCCUCGGUGCCGUCGUUAACACAGUAAGUACCCC